UGGGGAAUAUUGGACAAUGGGCGCAAGCCUGAUCCAGCAAUGCCGCGUGAGUGAUGAAGGCCUUCGGGUUGUAAAGCUCUUUCGCACGCGACGAUGAUGACGGUAGCGUGAGAAGAAGCCCCGGCUAACUUCGUGCCAGCAGCCGCGGUAAUACGAAGGGGGCUAGCGUUGUUCGGAAUUACUGGGCGUAAAGGGCGCGUAGGCGGUGUGUCAAGUCAGGCGUGAAAGCCCCGGGCUCAACCUGGGAACCGCGCUUGAGACUGGCACGCUAGAGUUCGGGAGAGGAUGGUGGAAUUCCCAGUGUAGAGGUGAAAUUCGUAGAUAUUGGGAAGAACACCGAUGGCGAAGGCAGCCAUCUGGACCGACACUGACGCUGAGGCGCGAAAGCGUGGGGAGCAAACAGGAUUAGAUACCCUGGUAGUCCACGCCGUAAACGAUGAGUGCUAGACGUCGGGGCCCUCG
rnacentral:rRNA from 1 species